UGGCGGACGGGUGAGUAAUGUCUGGGAAACUGCCCGAUGAGGGGGAGUAACUACUGGAAACGGUAGCUAAUACCGCAUAACGUCGCAAGACCAAAGAGGGGGACCUUCGGGCCUCUUGCCAUCGGAUGUGCCCAGAUGGGAUUAGCUAGUAGGUGGGGUAACGGCUCACCUAGGCGACGAUCCCUAGCUGGUCUGAGAGGAUGACCAGCCACACUGGAACUGAGACACGGUCCAG
rnacentral:rRNA from 1 species